UGGGGAAUAUUGGACAAUGGGCGAAAGCCUGAUCCAGCCAUGCCGCGUGUGUGAAGAAGGUCUUCGGAUUGUAAAGCACUUUAAGUUGGGAGGAAGGGCAGUUACCUAAUACGUAUCUGUUUUGACGUUACCGACAGAAUAAGCACCGGCUAACUCUGUGCCAGCAGCCGCGGUAAUACAGAGGGUGCAAGCGUUAAUCGGAAUUACUGGGCGUAAAGCGCGCGUAGGUGGUUUGUUAAGUUGGAUGUGAAAUCCCCGGGCUCAACCUGGGAACUGCAUUCAAAACUGACAAGCUAGAGUAUGGUAGAGGGUGGUGGAAUUUCCUGUGUAGCGGUGAAAUGCGUAGAUAUCGGAAAGAACAUCAGUGGCGAAGGCGGCUUCCUGGACUCAUACUGACGCUGAGGCACGAAAGCAUGGGGAGCAAACAGGAUUAGAUACCCCCGUAGUCCCUGAGCGGGCUGGCAAGGCGCAU
rnacentral:rRNA from 1 species